GAUAUGAGUCAAAUUCAUUCUAGUGUCAAAAUUGACUGCAAAGUGUAAAUAGAAUAAUUUUUAUUAUAAAGUCAGUCUCGUCCAAAACAGAGUUUUGUAAGUGCGUUCGUCACGACUUACUAGGGGGUUGGGUAUGGAUUACAUGGCUCACUUUUGCAGAUGAUGCCCAAUUGCCUAGAGACAACACGUUGUCGUACCAUGUGGACAUUUUUGACGUCAAGUCUGCAUAUGGAUACAACACACGCACGUUUCGCUCAGCAAACAGGAGUGAAAAUAGGCUUCCAUAAAGUUGCCGCAAACUCCCAAUGCAUUUCAACAAAAUUGCCAGAUGGCCAGGAAUAGAUUGUACCCGACACAGUCAAUUCUGCUGCCUGUCAACCGUCAAACGACUGGUGUUGGCUACACACAAAACCUGGUGGAUUUGUUGUUCAGCAGCUUCGUGAGUAACCCCAUACCAUAUUAGGAGCUGUUACAGAAGGCUGAGGCAGUGAAGCUGGGUGCCAUAUCGGAGCCGAAGUCGGGCUCCUUCAUGACCAGUAUCUGUGACGAGAGGGGCCUGGAGCUGAUCUACACUGCCAUGCCCAUCAGGCAUCGGCAAACACCUCAGAAGGGACAAAAGGGGAUUACUAAUAAGACAGUACAUCGCAAGUGUUUAGUAAUAUCACCCUUUCGAUACAUGUCACUCGUUAACGCUUCCUCAUUUUUCUACAGCUGGGCAGAAGAGACGCUUUUGAAAUGGAGUCCUCUGACUGAAAGACAAGUUGAUACUGAUGUCUGAAUUGGGAGAGACGUUGCACUCAGCAUUAAAAUUAUACAAGACACAUCUAUUAUUUUGUGUCAUCUUUUGUUACUAUUGAAUUGAA